UCCCUGGUAGCUCAGAGGUUAAAGUGUCUGCCUCCAAUGCGGGAGACCCAGGUUCGAUCCUUGGGUUGGGAA
rnacentral:tRNA from 1 species